ensembl:lncRNA
UAUAUAAAUAUUUACUGGGGCUCCAUGAGAAAAAAUUGCUUGCAAGUUCAAACUGGUUCAGCUAAAAGGGCACUCUAAUUUGGCCCAAAAGUGUACUGUAGAUUAUAACUCCUGUAUGAUUAGAAUCCCUUUAAAAAAACAUAAAAGCUUUCAAGUAAUGGAAAGGCAAACCAUAGAAAUGGAUAACCCUUCCCUCCAUGAGCCUCUGUUAUUUAUCCUGCCCCAGCUUCCUUGGGGUAAACUUGUAUAGUGGAAUGAAUGCAGUUUAACACCACUUUAACUGCUCUGAUUCACUGCUAAGAGAUCUUGGAAUCUGUAGUUUUAAAAGGUCUUUAGCCUUCUCUGCCAAAGAAUGCUGCUAUCUCACCAAAUUUCAAAUCCCAGCAUUGCACAGCAUUCAGCAAUUAAAAGUGGUGCCAGACAUGAAGGAGAGGAGAGGAGAGGUGGAGAGAUGCAGGGAGACUGAAGGAGAUAUUGAUAGGAAGAAAAAGAAAAGUCGGUGCAGAGAUCGAUAGGAAGAAAAAAGAAAAGGAGUUUGGAGAGAUAGAUAGGAAGGAAGAGGAAAAAAGGUUUGGGGAAAUCGAUAGAAAGAAUAGGGAAAAGGGGUUUGGAGAGAUCCAUAAGGAAGACAAAGAAAAGGAGUUUGGAGAGAUAGAUAGGAAGAAAAGGGGCUUGCAGAAAUAUGGAUAUGAAGAAAAAGGAAAGGGGGUUGGACAGAUAUAUAAGAAGAAAGAGGAUAGGGGUUUUGGGUGCAUGCAGGGUUUGUUGUGUGUAAUACGUUGUAAGUUUUUGUUAUGUUUGAAUGUUAGGGUAAACUCUUAUAUUUAAUUUUUUUUAAAAAUGAGUAGAAACCUGGAUUGAGAGUGGUGGAGGACAUGUGGAAAGAGCAGUUCUAUAUGUUUUGAGUAACAGAUAAUAAUAUGUACUGUGUUAGAAUUGGCAGGCUGGUUGACUAAUGUAGAUAUGCAUGUACAUUUCAAAAUGAUUGUUAUCUGACUAUAUCUUUGAUAAUUUGCUGUUUUGUUAAGUAACGUUUCAUUAAUAAACUGUUUAGCCACAAAAAAAAUAUCUGACUUAUAAAUGACUCAUAGUUAAGAUCGGAGGUGAGUCAACAGGAAGUGAGAGAAAUCUACCCCUUGGAAGGGAAAUCCACUUCUGGAAGUUAUUUUCAUAAGGAAAAGGGAUCUCCACUGAAACUUUAUUACCAAUCCUUGUUCCCACAACAAGCCAUUUUUUUCAAAGAACAAACCUUAAGAACAAACCUGCAGAACCUAUCUUGCUCGUAACUUGGGGACUGCCUGUAUUGAAGACUGAUCACUUAUACUUUGUGAAGAAAGAGGAGAUAUAUCUCUCAACACAGAAGACAGGCUUUGCAUAAUUUCAAGGCUAGACAAGUUUACUCUUCCUAUACUUCUUAUGUUUUAAACAAGACUUGAACAGAAAAUCCCUUCAAAAAGACAACAAACUGUUCUCAGUUGAGUAGGACACAUAAUGACCAUACUAUUUGAUGCUAGCACAAAGAAUGUGUGCCCCGCUAGGACAAAGAAAAAUAACAACAAAACACAACAAAUUACAGCUGUAACAUGGUCCAUGGUAUAAUAUAAUUUCUGAAUGUAUUUUGUAGACAGAUUUUAGCAAUGAGGGGCUGAGUCCCCUUUUAGCUAAGAUAACAAUAUGAAAAAUGUCCUCCCAGUAUGUUUCAACCCCCACAGCCCCAAUUAUGUGGCACAUUUAGAAAAUGCUGUUAAAAGUUCUCUAGUUCACAAUCUAAUUGCAGAGAGAAUCAAUUUUGCCAAGUCUGUGGGGAGAGGAAAGGUUGCCCGAUUUUAGAUCAAGGGCAUGUGUCAAGCUUAAAGCCUGUGGGCUGAAUUUGGCCCACCAUGCCAUUUUAUGUGGUCCUCCAGACUAAAACUUGCAGGGGUUGUAAUACAGUGACAUCUGGAUGGCCACAGUUUGUUCUGUUUAGUCAGGAGAGUGGAAUUGAACUUAGAUACAAGGCUUUUGGACAUGAUGUCUGACUUUAAAAUGUCCUUUAACUUUUCCCCAACCUCAGAGCCAUAAGUGCUAUUGGGCUGCAAUACCCGUUAUCCCCAGUCAACAUGGCAGAUAUUAAAAAGUGAUGGGAGUUGUCAUUCGAUAACAUCUGGUGACCCAAAUUGGAUAAUAACUAAAGAGCACCAACCACAACAGUUGGCCCUCUGUCUUCAUGGAUUCUCCAUCUAUGGAUUCAAUGGCCUUUUUAAGGCAACCAUAAGACACCUUUGCUAUAGGAUCUUUCUCUAGUUUUGAGUCUGGCACUUCUGAUCAUGAAGGACAUUUUUAGCAAGCCAGAAGUGACUUGCUUUCUGAUUGUGGUUGCUUUCUGAUUGUGAAAAGCCCUUUACUGGUACUGAAAACAGGUAAAUGAUAAAAUUCUAUUUAUUUAUUUGUUUAUUUAUUUAAUUGAUAUACCGCUCUUCUCCACCAGGGGGACCCAGAGCAGUCUUACACAAUGGCAGAAUUAGUAAAACUAAACAUAAAACACAGGUAAAAGCCGGGAUCCAACUUCUGAUUUACCAACCUCUGAAGUGUUUCCUUCCCAGGUCGAGGAGGACAGACAUAUCUGGCAUGAGGUGACUGACUACCUUGAAUUAAGGAAUUGGUGGGAUGGGGGGUAUGUGUAGUCUUUGGAUCUGAGUAGUUAACCAUCUCACAAACCCAGCAUUACAACCUAUGGAAUGAGUCUUCUCUUCUGACUUCCAUUCCAGGCUCAAGACUGAUCUUUAAAAAUGUUGAGAUCAUGACAUUUUUAGAAUUCAAUGCAAGCUCCAUUUUUAUCUCCGUUGUAUAAUUAAUUUGUGCUUUAUUACAAUGGCGAUAAUUCCCUUGUGGCAAUUGUGGGGUUUUAGCUUAUAAUGACAAUAAAAUAUACAACAUGUAAGAUGAAGUUUAGGGAAAGGAAGGAGAAGCAAAGAAUAAAUAUUUAAUCACUUUAGCUUCCCAAGCACUGUUUGGUUUAGAAAAGGGACAAUGUUAAACCCAUUUCCUGGUUUAUCCUUAGCACAUUUUCUGUGAAGUAAUUGCAUGUUUAAUCUUUAGUUCCUCUCCCCCGUGAUU